rnacentral:lncRNA from 1 species
UCGAUCGGAAAAGGACAGUGAGCAAGCCAAGAGCAGGCGGAUACAUCGCCACAAUCUAGGCCAAAAAGUAGCUGGAGUUGGCUGGUAAGUCUGUUCCGGAGUAUUGUAUUAUUACAGUCUUGUGGAUGUUACGUUAUCACUAGCUGCAAUUUUCAGUAUGGCAUUUUCUGAUGGUGUUUCUCUGUCUUUCAAACAAUACCAAGCACAAGUCUGCAAAAUAUUGGACGAGGACUUGUCACGCUACAAAAGCAACACAUGUGAGAAUUCAUCAUUCAAAUUACGUAUGUACAAUAAAGUGAAAGGAGCAGCAGAGUAUUCAGUAUGUAGUAGUUUUUGCAGCUAAAAUACUGUAUGAAUGCAUCACCUUGCUCUGCUUCUAGACGCAGGGUUCCCGGAACGCCGCCCUCAGCGGCGAGUGAGAAGCACAACUCAGGGUCAGAAGUGGAACGUG